GCGAGUGGGCAAGGGGAAGUCAGACCCAGAGGAGGUGGCAGGAGUGAGGAAACAGUGAGGCGAGGUGUAAAGGACAGUGCAGAACUUUCCGUGCCCCUAGGCCAAUCUGCACCUUAAUUCUCCUCGCCUGCCAUGUGGACAGGCCAAUACUUCGCGCUGCCCACCCUUGUGAGGACCCGGAAGUAUUACCGGUGGUGAUAGUGAAUCUGAACUCGUGCUAGGGUCCAGGGGAGGUAAGGAUGUGACAAGAAGGACCAAAAGCUACCUUACUGACACCGAAUUUCUUGGAAUAUGGAUCUUUAGAUUAAACAAGCUAUUAUACAGGCUUCCACUAGCAGAAAGUGUAUGAGUGCCUUCCCUGGGGAUCGUGGAUGACUGAAGUUUUAGGACAAAUGUGACUGCUCCCUGUAAGAGAUUUGGAAGGAGCUCAGCCGCAGAGUCAAACGGUGAUGUUUUGAAGUUUCUACUGAUGUUGAGUAACCAGAUGUGGAAGAGGACACUUCCAUUUGUCUCAAAACUUUGGAUAAAGCCCCACAGCUGCAGACAAUAGGCCAUAAGUAACUCUACAUUCUAAGGAGGGCAGCCUAAGAGCUACCUCUCUCCGAUUUUGAUACGAGGAGGUCAAACUUGACUUUGGAUUCUCACCCUGGUACCCUAGCAGCUCAAAUAACCAAAAGACUGGAAUUCACUGAAUGAGAGAAUUCUGAGCAAAAGAAAAUCCAAGACACCAGGAGAGAGCAAGAUUCCCUGGGACUCUGAAAUGUAGCUGACAACAUUAUGACAUUGUGUCCCACUGUGCAGCCUAGUGGAGGGGGCAAAGAAGACUCCCAAGAAUUAGUACCUAAAGGAGAGGAAAGCAGAACCCUGAGGCCUAUGAGAAGGAAAGAAGACAGUUCUUGGUAAGCUGGUUACGAUAUGAGAAAAGACUCCCAUGUGAAGAAUGACCCAUGUUCCUGGAAGAUAAAGGAUUCCACAAAAGAACAACUCCACAAGCAGCCAAGUUGUGGAGCCUCUGGUUCAGGCGCCAUCACUCAUCUGUGUUCAGCAUUUUCAUGGCUCCAGGCUGUGAAAGUCACCCUUUUCAUUGAUGCUUUAUAUAUUUGUGAAAUAAGUGAGAGUGUUGGGCUUUGAAGAAUGAUUUCACCUGAUAGAGUUGAAAGGCUCUGCAUGGACCUGAAGGAUACCUGCCCUUUCAACUCCAUUCUGCAACAUUGUCUACAAUGCCUACCAAAUCAUUAUUUCAUUCUCUAGAAAGAUGAACCUUUAUUUAACUUUUUUCAUGGUUAAUACAAAAGUAAUAUAC